rnacentral:rRNA from 1 species
ACGGGGCGCAGCAGGCGCGAAACCUCUGCAAUAGGCGAAAGCCUGACAGGGUUAUUCUGAGUGACUUUCGCUAAGAAAGUCUUUUGACAUCUCUAAAAAUGGUGUAGAAUAAGGGGUGGGCAAGUCUGGUGUCAGCCGCCGCGGUAAUACCAGCACCCCGAGCGGUCGGGACGAUUAUUGGGCCUAAAGCAUCCGUAGUCGGUUUUACAAGUCCUCCGCUAAAUCCAACUGCUUAACAGAUGGGCCGCGGAGGAUACUAUAAGACUAGGAGGCAGGAGAGGCAAGCGGUACUCAGUGGGUAGGGGUAAAAUCCGUUGAUCCAUUGAAGACCACCAGUGGCGAAGGCGGCUUGCCAGAAUGCGCUCGACGGUGAGGGAUGAAAGCUGGGGGAGCAAACCGGAUUAGAUACCCGGGUAGUCCCAGCUGUAAACGAUGCAGACUCGGUGAUGGACUAGCUUAAUGCUAGUCCAGUGCCGCAGGGAAGCUGUUAAGUCUGCCGCCUGGGUAGUACGGUCGCAAGACUGAAACUCAAAGGAAUUGACGGA